CGGGGAAUACUUAUUGGAACCGAUAGCUAAUCCGGCAUAAAAGUCGACAUUGCAUGAUGUUGACUUGAAAGGUGCAACUGCAUCACUAAGAGAUGGACCUGCGUUGUAUUAGCUAGUUGGUGAGGUAACGGCUCACCAAGGCGACGAUACAUAGCCGACCUGAGAGGGUGAUCGGCCACACUGGGACUGAGACACGGCCCAGACUCCUACGGGAGGCAGCAGUAGGGAAUCUUCGGCAAUGGACGGAAGUCUGACCGAGCAACGCCGCGUGAGUGAAGAAGGUUUUCGGAUCGUAAAGCUCUGUUGUAAGAGAAGAACGAGUGUGAGAGUGGAAAGUUCACACUGUGACGGUAACUUACCAGAAAGACGGCU
rnacentral:rRNA from 1 species